rnacentral:rRNA from 1 species
UACGUAGGUGGCGAGCGUUAUCCGGAAUGAUUGGGCGUAAAGGGUGCGUAGGCGGCCUGCUAAGUCUGGAGUGAAAGGUACCGGCUCAACCGGUACAGGCUCUGGAAACUGGCAGUCUUGAGUACAGUAGAGGUGGGCGGAAUUCGUGGUGUAGCGGUGAAAUGCUUAGAUAUCACGAAGAACUCCGAUUGCGAAGGCAGCUCACUGGACUGCAACUGACACUGAGGCUCGAAAGUGUGGGUAUCAAACAGG